UGUACUAAAUUUCAGCCAAAUUUUCGUAAUUUACACUACCUACUUUUUCUUAUUAAUGAGGAGAACCUGUGGAGUUUUAACAAUUUUUUUUGAUUAUUGAGUAUUUUGCAAACAAGUUUCUUUCAGAACUAAGCGCAGUCGACAUUUUUUCAUAGGAUAUGCCCAAUUCAUUCUAAGAUAUCCAAUAAAAAUUUGGAAAAUUCCCAUCUCAAGUGGUUUAACGUAGUCAAAAAAAUAUAUUUUCAUAGGUACCUAUCCAAAAUUUGUAGUAGAGCAAUAUUAAGUAAUUGAUACUGUAUUCUUCUGGGUAAUUAAAAUUGAUAGCGAGGUGUGUACAUAAACCUCAAGCGAACUAGUAAUUUUGAGAUACCUAUUUGAGUAUUCAUUCUAUCACAGUGUAUAGCAUCAGAUAAAAAGUCAACAUAAUGGAGAAGCUUGCAAUUUUUGUGCUCGGCUUAUUGAUUGUCUGCGUUACAGUAGUUCCAGAAAUGGAAUCUCGGCGAAUGGAAUCUGGAAUGGAAUCUGGAAUGUGUUGUAGUAUGAAUGGAAAAGAAUUCUCCGAUAAAAACACUUGCAUGAUGAUGUGUAAAGAAGGAUGUCAAUCCAAAAGAUGCGGCGGAAUGAGAGGCUGUAUGAUGAAAACGGGCUCGCCCAAGUUAACAUAUGGUUGUUUUUGCCAAAUGGAAUGAUCAGUAUACUCGACAGGUAUACCUACCUAUGUGCACAAGGUCACAUUUUCAAGUAUUGUGAGCAGUUGAUCUAGGCUUUUUGUCCGAUUAUACUUGUUAUAUCACAAUAAAUCCAUUCUUAACUCAA